rnacentral:rRNA from 1 species
UACCUACCCCACAGUGAGGGAUACCGGCGAGAAAUCGCCGACAAUACCGCAUAGGCUACUCUUCGCGAGAGGAGAAGCAAAGUUGCGCAAGCGACGCUGAGGGAUGGGCCUGUGGCCGAUUAGCUGGUUGGUGGGGUAAUGGCCUACCAAGGCUGCGAUCGGUAGCUGGUCUGAGAGGACGAUCAGCCACACUGGGAUUGAGAACGGCCCAG